rnacentral:lncRNA from 1 species
CGCAGCGGUGUUUCUACAAGUGGACCGCCCUCCGCUGUCACCUUCUAUAUGCUCCUAAAUCAACGCCUUCCGUUCGGCUUGCCGCCACUGCGGGCUCCCUAAGCGCACUGUCUUCCGCAGCCGCUUGUCAUGCAUUUGUGCCGCACUUGUUGUUGUUGUUACAUGUCCGUGGGUGCGUUCCCCGUACCUGCAAACCACCCUAGUACGAGCCGAGGGCUCAAGGGCUGACAAAUCGCCUAUAAGCACCAUCCUACCUCGCACUUCCAACGAGAUAAGUGAUGAAGUAAACUUACGGCCAAAGGGAACAAUAGAGUUGCGGUGAGACCAUAUAAGUUCCAGCAUCCUUGCCCGGCGUUCAGGCUCCCACUUCAUAACGUCCUUCAUGCCGCACUUAGCGGACCGCCACAGCGGCUUUUCUACAAGCACACCGCCUUCCGCGGCCGCUGUCUAAAUGCUCCUAAAUCAACGCCUUCAGUUUCGGCGUGCCGCCACGGCGGGCUUCCUAAGCGCACUGCCUUCCGCAGCCGCGUGUCAUGCAUUUGAGCCGCACUUAGCGGACCGCCGCAGCGGUGUUUCUACAAGCGCACCGCCUCCCCCGGCCGCUGUCUAUAUGCUCCUAAAUCAACACCUUCAAUUCGGCGUGCCGCCGCGGCGGGCUUCCUAAGCGCACUGCCUUCCGCAGCCGCGUGUCAUGCAUUUGUGCCGCACUUAGCGGACCGCCGCGGCGGCUUUUCUACAAGCACACCGCCUCCCGCGGCCGCUGUCUAUAUGCUCCUAAAUCAACGCCUUCAAUUCGGCGUGCCGCCGCGGCGGGCUUCCUAAGCGCACUGCCUUCCGCAGCCGCGUGUCAUGCAUUUGUGCCGCACUUAGCGGACCGCCGCGGCGGCUUUAUGAUGUAGCUGUAGUCCGUCCACACGUCCGAAGGCUCCGGGUCCGUCCACGCGUCUUGACUUCAACUUUCGUUUGCUUGCGGAUUUCUUGACGCCAUCCUGUAUGCCUGUCUUGCUCAUUGUUCUUUACGCCUUCGCACGUAGGGUAGCUGUUAUGUUGGUAAGUAUCNNNNNNNNNNNNNNNNNNNNNNNNNNNNNNNNNNNNNNNNNNNNNNNNNNAUAUCCUCCUAGGUCACAACGCCUCCCAUUCGGUGUGCCGCCGCGGUGGGCUUCUUAAUCGUGCUGUUUUCCGCAGUCGCUUGUCAGGCAUUUUAGUGCCGUAUUCUGAGGACUGCCGCAGCAGNCUUUUCUACAAGCGGGCCGCCUUCCGUGGUCGCCGUCUACACAUUCUUAAAUCAUAAAGCCGUCAGUUCGGUGUGCCGCCUCGGCGGGCUUCCUAAGUGCGCUGCCUUCUACAGCCUCUUAUCAUGCAAUUGGUGCCGCACUAUCGGACCGCCGCAGCGGUGUUUCUACAAGUGGACCGCCCUCCGCUGUCACCUUCUAUAUGCUCCUAAAUCAACGCCUUCCGUUCGGCUUGCCGCCACUGCGGGCUCCCUAAGCGCACUGUCUUCCGCAGCCGCUUGUCAUGCAUUUGUGCCGCACUUGUUGUUGUUGUUACAUGUCCGUGGGUGCGUUCCCCGUACCUGCAAACCACCCUAGUACGAGCCGAGGGCUCAAGGGCUGACAAAUCGCCUAUAAGCACCAUCCUACCUCGCACUUCCAACGAGAUAAGUGAUGAAGUAAACUUACGGCCAAAGGGAACAAUAGAGUUGCGGUGAGACCAUAUAAGUUCCAGCAUCCUUGCCCGGCGUUCAGGCUCCCACUUCAUAGCGUCCUUCAUGCCGCACUUAGCGGACCGCCACAGCGGCUUUUCUACAAGCACACCGCCUUCCGCGGCCGCUGUCUAAAUGCUCCUAAAUCAACGCCUUCAGUUUCGGCGUGCCGCCACGGCGGGCUUCCUAAGCGCACUGCCUUCCGCAGCCGCGUGUCAUGCAUUUGAGUCGCACUUAGCNN